GCUAAAGGGGGGCUGGCUGAAGCCAGCUGGAACGAGAAGCCCAUCACCCUGCCCCAGGCUUGAUUCCUGCUCUGGGAACACAGUUCUCUUUCUGGGGCUGCCAACCUGGGGGAUCAAGUCUGGGGCUGCGGGGACCAUGUUGUCUUUGGUCAUCUGUGCAGCCAACGUAAAUAUCAGAGAGGCAGAGAGAGAAGGAGCUACUGAGUCAACCUGGUGAAGAAGCCCAGGGUGAAGAGGUGGCGUGCCCCACCCGGGAGCAAGCUCACAGGGAAUGGGUGCCUGCCAAGGGCCACGCGAGCAAGGAGCCAGAAACCACAGGCCACCAGGAUUCCCCAGGCCCCUGGAGUCAAAAGCUGGGCGACCAGAGAGGAGCUGUUGCCACUGUGACCUGUGUGUUCUGGGAACAGCAGUCCUGAAGAAGCAAGUGCAGAGUGGCCAGGGACGUGCAAGAGGCCAGGGAGGUGGGAGAAGCACCCUUUGGCCCUGAACAUGGCCAGGAUAAGACCCCAGUGGACACUGCUAUGCCAGGUGACCCAGGGCUCGGGCUGUGCAGUCCAACCCUCUCCUCCCUUGCUCCUCCUCAUGUACCUGCUGAGGGCCUGCUGGGAGCCCUGUUCUAGGAACCAGGACUGAACACACCAGGGGAAAAGGCCAACCUGACGGUAUGGAUAUGCUUGGCCCAUGCUGGCCUGGCCUGUGGCCAGAGGACUUGGACCACCUGAGACAUCCACACCUCACCCAGUGCCUGUUUGAUGGGAGUGAGCAGUGACACCAAGGUCUCGAAGAGGGCUGCCAGGCGAGAGUGCAAUAUUUCUCAGAACUCUUGCUUGCAAGUGCCAGAAGCUUUGGGAUCACCUGUGCCCAAAGGAGGGAUAUGCUGGGGACACUUACAUAGCACAGGUAAGGCAGCAAGGACAGGGCCCCAGAGUCAAGAACCGAGGAUAGAAUACUGCUCUCCUUCUUCCCUUCACUGUGUCUGUGUCCACUUACAACCCUCCUAACCUUGAAGACCUUCCGCAUGAAGAGGAGAGCAAGAGCAGCAGCCUGACCCAGACCUUCUCCAUCCGAAGGGGAUUGUAACAGUUCCCGAUCGCAACUGACAACUCUCAGGGGAGAGUUCUGAUGGACAUGCAUGAGGAGGGACCACCCUGGAUCAGUCCGCCUUGGCCAGGGAAGCAAGUGUCCACAACCAGACUGGAUGGCUCCAGCCCCAUCCUUAGACCUCUGGACUGGACCGCUCCAGCCUUUAACACACAGAGUAUUAAAAUGGCUUAGUUACAGAUUUUAAUUAAAUGUUUUACUUUUGCACAUGUGUCAUGAUGGGUAAAAUUGUGGCAUAUGCAGUCGAGGGGAGAAAUAAAGAAUGUCCACAUGCUU